GGCCUCCUGAUGCUUACCACAGGCUGUAUUCUUACACUGUAUAGAAAGAGGAGGCAGAGUAAGCCUACCCCCAUGUACAACUCAGCUGAGGCUCUGUGCCUAGUCUGUAUUAUCAAUGGGGAAACAUGG